rnacentral:rRNA from 1 species
UACGAAGGGGGCUAGCGUUGCUCGGAAUUACUGGGCGUAAAGGGAGCGUAGGCGGACAUUUAAGUCAGGGGUGAAAUCCCAGAGCUCAACUCUGGAACUGCCUUUGAUACUGGAUGUCUUGAGUGUGAGAGAGGUAUGUGGAACUCCGAGUGUAGAGGUGAAAUUCGUAGAUAUUCGGAAGAACACCAGUGGCGAAGGCGACAUACUGGCUCAUUACUGACGCUCAUGCACGAAAGCGUGGGGAGCAAACAGG